GCGUAGCAAUACGUCAGCGGCAGACGGGUGAGUAACGCGUGGGAACGUACCUUUUGGUUCGGAACAACACAGGGAAACUUGUGCUAAUACCGGAUAAGCCCUUACGGGGAAAGAUUUAUCGCCGAAAGAUCGGCCCGCGUCUGAUUAGCUAGUUGGUAGGGUAAUGGCCUACCAAGGCGACGAUCAGUAGCUGGUCUGAGAGGAUGAUCAGCCACAUUGGGACUGAGACACGGCCCAAACUCCUACGGGAGGCAGCAGUGGGGAAUAUUGGACAAUGGGGGCAACCCUGAUCCAGCCAUGCCGCGUGAGUGAUGAAGGCCCUAGGGUUGUAAAGCUCUUUUGUGCGGGAAGAUAAUGACGGUACCGCAAGAAUAAGCCCCGGCUAACUUCGUGCCAGCAGCCGCGGUAAUACGAAGGGGGCUAGCGUUGCUCGGAAUCACUGGGCGUAAAGGGUGCGUAGGCGGGUCUUUAAGUCAGGGGUGAAAUCCUGGAGCUCAACUCCAGAACUGCCUUUGAUACUGAAGAUCUUGAGUUCGGGAGAGGUGAGUGGAACUGCGAGUGUAGAGGUGAAAUUCGUAGACAUUCGCAAGAACACCAGUGGCGAAGGCGGCUCACUGGCCCGAUACUGACGCUGAGGCACGAAAGCGUGGGGAGCAAACAGGAUUAGAUACCCUGGUAGUCCACGCCGUAAACGAUG
rnacentral:rRNA from 1 species